CAGUCUGGUCCUUUUCAUAGCUCCAGAGGAUUUUUAGGAGCAUGGGGAGCAUGGGAUGCAUGGACCUGUGGACCCACAAAACCCUCUGGAGAAUGCUGGCUGUGGAUAAAAGCAUCUGGAAGUUUCUACCAUCUUUUUACCCUUUUUUUCCCUGGGUCACCCUGUGUCAUUUGUGGCCCAGUCCUGAGGAUUACAGCAUACAGUCACUUACUGGAAUACCUCCCCAUGAUCUUCUUGAAAUGGAGCCACUGCUUUACCCAGCUGGAAGAUGUUUUCUGUUCUCCCAGAGCUUUUCCAGUGCAGCAACAACACUCCUGUCCAGGUCUGGAUUGACUGCAGAAAGCAGAAGGGAGGAGCGUGUCAAAGGGAGGUCAGAUCCUGCCAGGGUUUCCUGGGAAAUGAGGUGUAUCCACUGUUUGGAUGAUGAAACUUGAUGAGCUGCAAUUGGGCUUGGAUUAUAGUACUUCAGAAGACUUUCUGAACUUGCCAGGCAACCCUCCCUCUAGACUUUGGGGACAGAGGAGCUUAAAUUUAUAUUUCCAGUGUCACACAAGGAGAUAGAAUGGAGUUGGCUGCUUUGCACAAGUAAUGAAAAUCAAUGCUGUGUUGCUGUUGGAAGGAGUGCUCAAAAGGACAAAAGCCUGGCAUAUACAUCUUGGUUUAGAGACAGAUUUUACCUGGGAAGAGUGUGCCCAGGGGAAGAUACAAGAAGGCGAAGAGGUGAUGCUACAAGCCAGCUUCCUGACCUCCAGAGUGGGACUGAAGCUUUGUAACAAGAUUUUCUAAGUAUGGAAGCUCUCCUGAGGAGCUGUAUUAUGCGCUGCUGCCCCUGGGAUGGGAUGCAGAGCAAGGAGUGAAGAAGAGCUGCGAUGUGCCACUGCUUUUGUGAGGAGAGGGGCUUUCUGGCACGUCAUAUGGUGCCAAAAGACA